AUGUGGUUGGCUCUUAGGAAAAGUAUCCUUACAAAAGAUAAUCUGCUUCGUAGGGGGUGGAAAGGAGAUGAUAAAUGUCCUUUUUUUGGACGUAAAGAGAAUAUAAAUCAUCUUUUUCUAUCCUGUUCAGUUGCUAGACUAUUGUGGAACAUCUUAAAAUGUGCUUUCAAUCUGAGAGACAUUCCAGAAACCCUGGAAGCUAUCAUGAAAACCUGGAUAAAUACAUUUGGGAAAGAUGAAAAAAGUUUGGUCAUUAUAGGUGUUUCAGCGAUUUGCUCGAUUAUCUGGAAAUUAAGAAACAGUGUUAUUUUUUACAACAAUAGGGUAAAUGACCCCUGUGUUCUUGUUACUCUGUUUCUCAAAAAUUUAAAUGAUUGGAAUAUUUUCCAGACAAAUCCCGCAAGAAGUAAGAUGAUGGAGGCUAGAGUGAAGCAAGUAAGUAUGGUGGCGGAAGAAGUGUUCAAAGCAGCCUAUGGGUGGCGCCUGAAGACUGGGAGAAUCCAGGGGUGA
rnacentral:rRNA from 1 species